rnacentral:rRNA from 1 species
UACGAAGGGUGCUAGCGUUGUUCGGAAUCACUGGGCGUAAAGCGCGCGUAGGUGGCUUACCAAGUCAGAGGUGAAAGCCUGGAGCUCAACUCCAGAACUGCCUUUGAAACUGGUAAGCUUGAGUGUCGGAGGGGAUAGCGGAAUUCCUAAUGUAGAGGUGAAAUUCGUAGAUAUUAGGAGGAACACCGGUGGCGAAGGCGGCUAUCUGGACGACAACUGACACUGAGGCGCGAAAGCGUGGGGAUCAAACAGG